rfam:Neotoma lepida isolate 417 scaffold_21169, whole genome shotgun sequence.
GGGGAAACGUUGAAUGUAAAUGUUUGAAACAAAUGUGUAUAAAUAAAUGAAUUUUUGAU